UAGGAACUACCGCUUGUGGUUGAUUGAAUUGUCGAUUUUUCCGAAUCGAUUCAAUUGUCUUAUUUCUAUCACAGUCGUAGUUACUAGA
rnacentral:pre_miRNA from 1 species